rnacentral:rRNA from 1 species
UGGGGAAUAUUGGACAAUGGGCGCAAGCCUGAUCCAGCAAUGCCGCGUGUGUGAAGAAGGCCUGCGGGUUGUAAAGCACUUUCAGUGGGGAGAAAGAGCUCUGUCUUAAUACGGCGGAGGGAUGAUGUUACCCACAGAAGAAGCACCGGCUAACUCUGUGCCAGCAGCCGCGGUAAUACAGAGGGUGCGAGCGUUAAUCGGAAUUACUGGGCGUAAAGGGUGCGUAGGUGGUUAAAUAAGUCAGAUGUGAAAUUCCUGAGCUCAACUUGGGGACUGCGUCUGAUACUGUUUGACUAGAGUACUGUAGAGGGAGGUGGAAUUUCCGGUGUAGCGGUGAAAUGCGUAGAUAUCGGAAGGAACAUCAGUGGCGAAGGCGACCUCCUGGACAGAUACUGACACUGAGGCACGAAAGCGUGGGGAGCAAACAGGAUUAGAUACCCGGGUAGUCC